rnacentral:rRNA from 1 species
AACGAACGCUGGCGGCAGGCCUAACACAUGCAAGUCGAACGCCGUAGCAAUACGGAGUGGCAGACGGGUGAGUAACACGUGGGAACGUACCUUUCGGUUCGGAAUAACUCAGGGAAACUUGAGCUAAUACCGGAUACGUGCGAGAGCAGAAAGAUUUAUCGCCGAAAGAUCGGCCCGCGUCCGAUUAGCUUGUUGGUGAGGUAAUGGCUCACCAAGGCGACGAUCGGUAGCUGGUCUGAGAGGAUGAUCAGCCACACUGGGACUGAGACACGGCCCAGACUCCUACGGGAGGCAGCAGUGGGGAAUAUUGGACAAUGGGCGAAAGCCUGAUCCAGCCAUGCCGCGUGAGUGAUGAAGGCCUUAGGGUUGUAAAGCUCUUUUGUCCGGGAAGAUAAUGACGGUACCGGAAGAAUAAGCCCCGGCUAACUUCGUGCCAGCAG